rnacentral:rRNA from 1 species
GAUGAACGCUGGCGGUGUGCCUAAUACAUGCAAGUCGAGCGAACGGACGAGAAGCUUGCUUCUCUGAUGUUAGCGGCGGACGGGUGAGUAACACGUGGAUAACCUACCUAUAAGGCUGGGAUAACUUCGGGAAACCGUAGCUAAUACCGGAUAAUAUUUUGAACCGCAUGGUUCAAAAGUGAAAGACGGUCUUGCUGUCACUUAUAGAUGGAUCCGCGCUGCAUUAGCUAGUUGGUAAGGUAACGGCUUACCAAGGCAACGAUGCAUAGCCGACCUGAGAGGGUGGUCGGCCACCCUGGAACUUGGCCACGGUCCAGACUCCUACGGGAGGCAGCAGUAGGGAAUCUUCCGCAAUGGGCGAAAGCCUGGCGGAGCAACGCCGCGUGAGUGAUGAAGGUCUUCGGAUCGUAAAACUCUGUUAUUAGGGAAGAACAUAUGUGUAAGUAACUGUGCACAUCUUGACGGUACCUAAUCAGAAAGCCACGGCUAACUACGUG